rnacentral:misc_RNA from 1 species
GAUGAAGAACGUAGCGAAAUGCGAUAAGUAGUGUGAAUUGCAGAAUUCAGUGAAUCAUCGAAUCUUUGAACGCACAUUGCGCCCGCCAGUAUUCUGGCGGGCAUGCCUGUUCGAGCGUCAUUUCAACCAUCAAGCCCCAGGCUUGUGUUGGGGACCUGCGGCUGCCGCAGGCCCUGAAAACCAGUGGCGGGCUCGCUGUCACACCGGGCGUAGUAGAUUUUAUCUCGCUCAGGGCGUGCUGCGGGUUCCGGCCGUUAAAAAGCCUUUUUUACCCAAGGUUGACCUCGGAUCAGGUAGGAAUACCCGCUGAACUUAAGCAUAUCAAUAAGCGGAGGA